AUAUAUAUAUAUAUAUAUAUAUAUAUAUAUAUGCAUGGUUAAGGGAUUGCGCAUGCGCAGUGUGUAACAGUGAGAGCAAGCAAUUAACACUGGAGAGCUGUUGAAAUCCAGCGUGGGUCCAACGGUACUUUAGAUUGGUAAAUAAUACUUCACUCUUGUACUGUAAUAUAACAUAGUUUGCAUCAUCUGCAGUGUAUAAGAGUUUGUUUGUAAUAUUUAUGCCAGAUGGUCAUGUUAGCCUGUUGAUACUUUCAGAUUGACAUGAGGAAGUUAGCUUCUUGCCAGCUGGAUAUCUGUGCUCAAAAGAACUACGUUGUGGAGUUGAUGAGAACAUUAUUUGAAGCGCCUGCAGUAUGGGUGAGAUGAGGAUCUCCUGUUCCAUGUGGGGUUAGGGUAUCACGUGGACAGUGUGUUUCUCUGCUGCUGGCCACUGGAGGAGCUCACUGAAGAACACCUGAAGACAUUUCAGUCUCACCUGACUAGUGGCUGGAUGUUAGUCUUUCCUCUCAUCCCAGAGAGCCACCUGGAAAACACUGACAGACAGGUCACAGUGGAUCAGAUGGUGAAGAGAUACGGCCCUGAGAGAGCUGUGAAGAUCACAAUGAGGAGGAUGACCUGGGUGAUCUUGCUGAGAAGUUAGAGAGAGAGAUCACAUGAAGUAAUUACAGGUGUUGUUCCUUGUCAGGAUGUUGAGUAUUUCAAAGAGUCCCAGCUUCUUCACUUUUUUUUUUGAAACGUUUGAGUAUUUUCAUGAAUGAAAGAUGUUCAACUGCCCUGAACAAGAUUGUAAAUUAAUUUGUUCAUUACCUCAUUUGUCAUUGCUAUUGUAGUAUAUCAGAGAAAGCUCAAUGUCCUCUUUUGGGAGAUUCUCAAAUUGGACAAAACUCUGCCGAAAAAUAAUAGUAAUUACUAAUAAUGAUAAUAGUACAGAGAACGGAGAUUGCCUCCUGCAGCGGAGGAUGCUCAGGUCUAUCCUCUUGCAGCGGAGGAUGCUCAGGUCUAUCCUCUUGCAGCGGAGGAUGCUCAGGUCUAUCCUCCUGCAGUGGAGGAUGCUCAGGUCUAUCCUCCUGCGGAAGAGUUCUGAAAUCAGCCCUUUGAAACAGCUGUUCUCUCAUAAGAGAAAAGAAUUCAUACCUUUGAAAACGAUAUGUUACUUCUCCAUUUAUCUAUGAAACAUCUAGCACAACUAACUACAUGUAAUUUGGGAUUCCACCCCUGUAAAUGUAAUUUGCCUGAUGACACGCUAGGGGAGGAGUCGCAUUUCAUACAAGCGCAUUUGUUUCCACAUUCCCUCUUCAAUUACAUUGGACCUUUUUCUAAAGGAGAGUAUGCGAGUAAUUGAGGGAAAUCUGAGUUUGUUUCUUUCCUAGAUGGUGGAUGUGACUUCCUGUCUGUAGCCCAUGUGACUGAUGACAAAGUGGAGUUUCUCCCUCCCCAUGAGACAAUACACACAUCAUAAAAACAUCACUGGAUCCUCUGCUUAUGGUGAUGUCACGGAUGAUGAUGCUCCCAUCUCCGCUAUCCACGGGCUUCUGUUAUUCUACCAACUGUUUCUCUGAAGAGAGGUCCAUCCUGAAUGUGUUGUUACCACCCUGAUCACAACAUUUCUGGGAAGCAAGCAUGACUAAGAUUUUCAAAUCCCACUUCUAUCUGGAUGGAAUUCCAUCAAGCUGGCAGUAUCAAACCCAACAUAGAAAAAUAACAUUUUCUCUGUGCCACAAGAAUGCAUUGUGACGGCCCUGAAUUUUCCUGAACCGUCUCAGUGCUUCUCCUUCCAAUAGGGCGCUUUCCCUUUAAUUCUUAAUUAAAUCGUGCUUCUCCUUCCAAAAGGGCGCUUCCCCUUUAAUUCCCAAUUAAAUAGUCAGCAACAGCUGCGCAAAAGUGGGGUUGUGAUGGAAACGUGAAUGAGGAUGUGUUCAACCCUCAGUUCUGAAGCGUCUCUCUUCCGUUUGUUGUGUUGCUUUAAAAGUGUGCUUUGUGUAGCCUAAUAGCAAAUCUACCCAGGAUCGGAUCCACUCUUGCGUCCGUGGACUACACCUCUCCGUUGUUUUUCGUGGCCUUUCUCCCGCUGGAGAUCUGUCGGCGGAUUGGCUUGUCUGACUGACCACAACCUUUUUGAAUACGAGACCCUCCAUGUUGGAUGUUCCAGCUCUGCUAAUGACCACUCUGGAGGAGCUCUGGAACAGCUGAAGACAUUUCAGUCUUACCUGAGUACGUUCCAGCUGCCUGACUGUCCUUCCAUCCCAGAGAGUCAGCUGGAGAACACUGACAGACAGGACACAGUGGAUCAGAUGGUGGAGAGACAUGACCCCGAGGAAGCUGUGGAGAUCACACUGAUUAUCCUGAGAUUCUCCUCUCCUCCUGGACCCCAAUGAUCCCACUGUUGGACAGGCCUUCACCUUGCCAAGGAACCUAAGACCACCCAGACCUUUGAUAGGCUCUCUAACUUGUCCAUUAUCUAGCCAAGGUUCAUCUGGAGUGAAGAGUGAGGAACGUGUCAGAGUGUCUGACAGCUCACCUGAGGCCAUGGACGUGUUAAGCAUCACAGAAUGUAGAAUAGUGGACCAGAGCCUGAGUACUACUGACCCUCCCAUGAGAUCUCCUGAGAACUUUGAACCAGAUGUCUAUGAUCAUGAUGGCAAGGGAGCAUAUCGGUUCCAGUGCCCCAGUGCAGGUCUGUUCCAGUGCCAUAUUUCCAUAUUUUAUUUGGAAUGGUA